rnacentral:rRNA from 1 species
UCCGGAUUUAUNGGGCGUAAAGGGAGCGCAGGCGNUCAGGAAAGUCUGGAGUAAAAGGCUAUGGCUCAACCAUAGUGUGCUCUGGAAACUNUCUGACUUGAGUGCAGAAGGGGAGAGUGGAAUUCCAUGUGUAGCGGUGAAAUGCGUAGAUAUAUGGAGGAACACCAGUGGCGAAAGCGGCUCUCUGGUCUGUCACUGACGCUGAGGCUCGAAAGCGUGGGUAGCGAACAGGAUUAGAUACCCUGGUAGUCCACGCCGUAAACGAUGAGUGCUAGGUGUUAGGCCCUUUCCGGGGCUUAGUGCCGGAGCUAACGCAAUAAGCACUCCGCCUGGGGAGUACGACCGCAAGGUUGAAACUCAAAGGAAUUGACGGGGGCCCGCACAAGCGGUGGAGCAUGUGGUUUAAUUCGAAGCAACGCGAAGAACCUUACCAGGUCUUGACAUCCCGAUGCUAUUCUAGAGAUAGGAAGUUACUUCGGUACAUCGGAGACAGGUGGUGCAUGGUUGUCGUCAGCUCGUGUCGUGAGAUGUUGGGUUAAGUCCCGCAACGAGCGCAACCCUUAUUGUUAGUUGCCAUCAUUAAGUUGGGCACUCUAGCGAGACUGCCGGUAAUAAACCGGAGGAAGGUGGGGAUGACGUCAAAUCAUCAUGCCCCUUAUGACCUGGGCUACACACGUGCUACAAUGGUCGGUACAACGAGUUGCGAGCCGGUGACGGCAAGCUAAUCUCUGAAAGCCGAUCUCAGUUCGGAUUGGAGGCUGCAACUCGCCUCCAUGAAGUCGGAAUCGCUAGUAAUCGCGGAUCAGCACGCCGCGGUGAAUACGUUCCCGGGCCUUGUACACACCGCCCGUCACACCUCGAGAGUUUGUAACACCCGAAGUCGGUGAGGUAACCUUUUAGGGGCCAGCCGC